UGCCUCCACUUGCAUCAUUGCUUCGCAACGGGGCUUUUCAGCUUCUUCUAUGAUAUCCCAGUUGCCGCAGCAGCGAUUUCACAAAAAUGAGAACCAAGUUAAGAAUUUGGUGGCCAAAUCAACUAGCUUCAUCUGAACCAGCAACACCUUUGAAUAAGAAUAAUCUCUUGCUCGGUUGGUUUGCUUCUUGUUCUUCUGUUUCUGUUGAUGUUGUAGUGGCCUUUGCUUGCAACGAAGCUUCAUUUUCUCACUCCAAUUCUACGCUCCAGGAGAUUCUCCGCGGCGUAAAUGGGAAAAUGCCUGUGUUUUUACAGGAGAGAGCGGCCUUUUCACUUUUGGGUCAGUGUGUUUUGUAUGGAAGAGGUAAUGGGAAAAUGUCGAGGGAUGGAAUGGAAGGUGGUGAUUGGAGGAAUUCAUUUACUGAUGGUUUUGAUUCGGUGAUGAAUAGCCGGGAUCUGUCCGAUGGAAAGGAUGGAGGGAGUAGUUGUGGGUGCAAUGAACUUGAUGGGUCGCAUGAACAAUGCAGGAAAGAGUGUGUUGAAAACGGGCUUUGGAUUCGGUUGGUGUAUGAUUCUUGUGAAGGAUAUGGUAAAGACGUUCACCGGGUUCCAAAACUGCAUCACUUGCAUUGGAAUGGGCAGAUAGUUUCUCAUUGCAAUGUUCACGUUGUCGUUUAUGAAAUUCCUGUAUAUGGGGUGCACCAUUUCUCACUGAAUCUUUGGAAGUCUUCCAAGCCAGUGAAAGAUCCUGUCAAGAAACCCAAGUGGGUUAAUGAACUUGAGAAAAAUCAGCCUCUAUUGGACUUGGAUACAGUCAUUCUGGCUAUCAACAGUGCUGCAGCUGCUAAAUUAGCUCUUGAGACACGUGUAGGCUUUAAGAGAUCUGUUUCUGGGUUUUUCAUCAUCAUCAGCAGGUCUAUUGCUUUCAUGUGGCAAGUAUUGGCCAUUUUUGUGGCAACAAUUUCCACUCUAUUCUACAUUGUUCUCCAGUUAUUCCAUAAUUUUUCAAGUUUUGGAUCAAAAACACGGAUAUACACUACAUCAGCGAGGGUGUUCUGCACUACAUGGACACAAAUUCAAAUCCGCUGUUGUCAGAUUUUGUACUGGCCCAUCGUUCUUCAAGAUAAUGGCCUUAGGUCACAGUCAUGCGUGGAAUAUAAGGAGAAUGCUGUGUUACAUAGGAAUUCUAUGUGGUCAAGUUUAGCUGUUGAUCUUCUUUUGGGAAAUUUGAUGGGCUUGGCACUCUUAAUUCAUGCUGAAUCUGUUUGCCAAUGGAUUUUGACCUUUGCCAAUGUCAUUACCAAUGAGUUAUUGCGCUCAGGUUCUGUGUGGUUGAUGGGAGUGCCAGCAGGUUUCAAGUUGAAUACAGAACUGGCAGGAGUUCUUGGCAUGAUUUCUCUUAAUGCAAUACAAAUUUGGUCCACCCUUUGGAUCUUUAUUGGUUUUCUCUUCAUUUAUUUCAUCAAAGGACUUGCUCUACUGGGGAUUCUUUUUGGGGCAACUAUUCCUGCUGCUUUGAUCAUAGAUAUGGCUUCCAUAGCAACAUUGCAUGUGUCAACUCUUCAUUGGGCAAUCUCACUUUUGUAUUCCUGGCAAAUUCAGGCUUUAGCAGCUCUCUGGCGUCUUUUCAGGGGUCGAAAGUGGAAUCCUUUGCGUCAGAGAUUAGAUAGCUAUGACUACACUGUGAAGCAACAUAUUGUGGGUUCCCUUCUGUUCACUCCACUUCUCCUUCUGUUACCAACAACUUCUGUUUUCUACAUGUUCUUCACCAUUUUGAGCACAACCAUUGCUCUUUCUUGUAUAUUGAUUGAAGUCACAAUAUCCAUGAUUCAUAGCACACCAUAUAUUAAAAUUUUCCUUUGGUUGAUGAGACGGAGAAGAUUUCCCUCUGGGAUUUGGUUUGAAAUUGCAUCUUGUCAGAAUGAUUCUCUGGAGUUUGCACGUCAUGACAAAGUAUGUUCUUCCUCCAAGAAGUCUUAUCGAAACAACGACAGAGGCGAAAACAGACCCAGCAUUAUGGUCUCAUUUCUCCACAGCAACUUUUUGAGUAUAGCAGGGAUGUCUUUGCAUUUCCGGUUGUGGUAGGAGUAGAUUGGCACGCUGAAUAUUUUGGGCUUAUUUUGAGAGAUGCGUGGUCAUUCUAUUCAAGACAGAGUUGCUCUCUCAGUAGUUAGUACUCUGCAUGAGCUGUCUAGUAGCUGAACCAAGUUGGGGAAGUGGAAAAUCAGUAAAUAAGUCAGCAACGGUGUAAUCUGCAAUGACAUGACCAUGAAUUUAGAACGUUAUUCCUAAUUCAGGCAUGGAUUUCUCCCAAGUACAUCAUUUAGCCUAAGAUAUUCCUGGAAAAUUAGGUAACCAUGUGAAUUUCAAUCACCAUUCACUUCAUUUUAGGUAUCAUCUACUCUUUUCCUCUCAGUUCUUUUCUUCCCACUUUUGAAUAUGCCUCGUUGUUUCUUCGCUUGCCAACAAAUUCAGGUAUUAAUCUCCAGUUGAAGGGGGUGAACCUACAGAUCUUAACAUUUUACAAACUUGGUCAUAAGUUUCAAGUAGAAACUACUUAACAAAAAAAUUCCUCAGAUGAAAAUACAUUCACCUGGCACUUUAAUUCUUGGUGCCUUUGUUAUGAUUUAUAUCGGGCCAACUGUAAUGAGAAAAAUGUUGCAGGACAAGUAGUUUUGCCUCACUAUAGGAAGGUUUUCUCCGGAGUUUCUGAUUUUGCCAUUACAUCAGCUCAUGGAGCUCUUACUGGUAAAAGAACCGUAUCUACUUUGGGGACUUGCCUGCCUUCAACAAUGCCAUGGUUGUCUAUCCCGG